rnacentral:rRNA from 1 species
CCUACGGGUGGCAGCAGUAGGGAAUCUUUCACAAUGGGCGAAAGCCUGAUGGAGCAACGCCGCGUGCAGGAUGAAGGCCUUCGGGUUGUAAACUGCUUUUAUAAGCGAGAAAUAUGAUGGUAACUUUUGCAUAAGGAUCGGCUAACUACGUGCCAGCAGCCGCGGUCAUACGUAGGUUCCGAGCAUUAUCCGGAGUGACUGGGUGUAAAGAGUUGCGUAGGUGGGAUAAUAAGUAGCUAGGGAAAUCUGGUGGCUUAACCAUUCAGACUAUUUGCGAAACUGUUAAGCUCGAGACCGUUAGGGGUAACUGGAAUUUCUAGUGUAGGAGUGAAAUCCGUAGAUAUUAGAAGGAACACCAAUAGCGUAGGCAGGUUGCUGGGACGGUUCUGACACUAAGGCACGAAAGCGUAGGGAGCAAACGGGAUUAGAUACCCCAGUAGUC